rnacentral:rRNA from 1 species
CGAAGGAUGCAAGCGUUAUCCGGAUUCAUUGGGUUUAAAGGGAGCGUAGGCGGUCUUGUAAGUCAGUGGUGAAAUCUCUCGGCUUAACUGAGAAAUUGCCAUUGAUACUGCAGGACUUGAGUACAGUUGCCGUUGGCGGAAUAUGACAUGUAGUGGUGAAAUACAUAGAGAUGUCAUAGAACACCGAUUACGAAGGCAGCUAACGAAACUGUAACUGACGCUGAGGCUCGAAAGUGCGGGGAUCAAACAGGAUUAGAUACCCUGGUAGUCCGCACUGUAAACGAUGAUUACUCGCUGCUAGGAGGUAACUUUUAGUGGCUUAGCGAAAGCGAUAAGUAAUCCACCUGGGGAGUACGCCGGCAACGGUG